UACAGAGGUCUCAAGCGUUGUUCGGAUUCAUUGGGCGUAAAGGGUGUGUAGGUGGCGCGGUAAGUCGGGUGUGAAAUCUUGGAGCUUAACUCCGAAACUGCAUUCGAUACUGCCGUGCUUGAGGACUGGAGAGGAGACUGGAAUUACCGGUGUAGCGGUGAAAUGCGUAGAUAUCGGUAGGAACACCAGUGGCGAAGGCGGUCUCCUGGGGCAUUCUUGACGCUGAGGCGCGAAAGCUGGGGGGAGCGAACGGGG
rnacentral:rRNA from 1 species